CAGUCGCCGCGGGAACACGAAGGGUGCAAGCGUUACUCGGAAUUACUGGGCGUAAAGCGUGCGUAGGUGGUGGUUUAAGUCCGUUGUGAAAGCCCUGGGCUCAACCUGGGAAUUGCAGUGGAUACUGGGUCACUAGAGUGUGGUAGAGGAUAGUGGAAUUUCCGGUGUAGCAGUGAAAUGCGUAGAGAUCGGAAGGAACAUCUGUGGCGAAGGCGACUAUCUGGGCCAACACUGACACUGAGGCACGAAAGCGUGGGGAGCAAACAGGAUUAGAUACCCGAGUAGUCCCUGUCUCUUAUAC
rnacentral:rRNA from 1 species